CGUGUGACUCUUCAGAUCUCAGUUACAGAACGCAGCACAGCGGCAAAACUGUGGACGUGAUUAAAGCAAAAGCUAUUAGAAGUGCCUGGAAAUCGCACACAUGAAAUGAGAGAAUUCAACAGUGUGUCUUACACAAGCAGUGUUUCUAGACCGUUCAUGGAAUGGUUAAACCAUUGCUGUGAUCCAGACCAGGAAGAAAACCUGAUCACUGCCUCUGCAGGGAGAUUUUACUGGUCACCGUGUGAGCAUAAUGCCACGAAACUGUAGGUAAUAAAGACUGAAACUUAAAAAACUCAACCCAUGCGGGCAGGGCACGGUGACACAGUUAAUGAUACUGUGUUGCUUAUUUGAAAGUUGUUGAGAGAGCGGGUCACUUUGCAACUGGAUGGUGACUGGGUGGACACCAGACUCACUGUGGUGCUCGUUUCACGGUGUAGACAGAGAUCGAAUCAUCGUGCUGGAUACCUGAAACUAAUAUAAUGUUAGGUGUCAACUAUACCUAAAAAAAAUCCAUUUAGAAAACUUGACCCAAAUAGGAAGUGGAAACUAUAAUAAUAGACCAUUUAGAAAAGUAAUCCUGAAAGCCUUCACCUAGUUCCAAACAGUAAGUGAAUCCAUUCCUCCGAGCGCCUUCGUUACCGUGAGUGAAGUAAGUGCUCUGCGCAGAAAACUGGAAAAUAAACGACAGAGAAAUCUGGGGAAACGGGAGGGUGUUCUUACAGCGGGCAAGAGCUAGUGAAGGAGAUGUGGCCGCGUCUGCUUCUCUCUGUUACCCACCGCUCUUGGAACAUUGCCUGGCACAUGGCGGGCACUCAGUAAAUAUUUGUGAGAUGAACAGAUGAAUGAACAAAGAGGAAAAAAAAACAGUAGAACUGAAAAAUCUAAGAGCGAUCCUUUGUUAAAACACUGAAGCAGAUAAAGGUGUAGUUAAACUAAGGA